UACGUAGGGGGCAAGCGUUGUCCGGAUUUAUUGGGCGUAAAGAGCGUGUAGGCGGCUAGGUAGGUCCGUUGUGAAAACUGGAGGCUCAACCUUCAGAGGUCGACCGAAACCAUCUGGCUAGAGUCCGGGAGAGGAGAGUGGAAUUCCUGGUGGUAGCGGUGAAAUGCGCAGAUAUCAGGAAGAACACCCGUGGCGAAAGCGGCUCUCUGGAACGGUACUGACGCUGAGACGCGAAAGCGUGGGGAGCGAACAGG
rnacentral:rRNA from 1 species